UCAUAGCUCAGUGGUUAGAGCACUGGUCUCGUAAACCAGGGGUCGUGAGUUCGAUUUUAGGCUUGUUUUAAAAU